rnacentral:rRNA from 1 species
UUCCGGUUGAUCCUGCCGGAGGCCAUUGCUAUCGGAGUCCGAUUUAGCCAUGCUAGUCGUGCGAGUUCAGACUCGCGGCACCGAGCUCAGUAACACGUGGCCAAACUACCCUACAGAGACGGAUACCCUCGGGAAACUGAGGUCAACCCGUCAUACCGAUCUCAGGCUUGAAUCGCAGAGAUCACAAAACGCCCCGGCGCUGUAGGAUGUGGCUGCGGUUGAUUAGGUAGACGGUGGGGUAACGGCCCACCGUGCCCAUAAUCAGUACAGGUUGUGAGAGCAAGAACCUGGAGACGGAAUCUGAGACGAGAUUCCGGGCCCUACGGGGCGCAGCAGGCGCGAAACCUUUACACUGCACGCCAGUGCGAUAAGGGAAUCCCAAGUGCGUAGGCAUCGAGCCUACGCUUUUGUCCACCGUAGGGAGGUGGACGAAUAAGGGCUGGGCAAGACCGGUGCCAGCCGCCGCGGUAAUACCGGCAGCCCGAGUGAUGGCCGAUCUUAUUGGGCCUAAAGCGUCCGUAGCUGGCCGCACAAGUCCAUCGGAAAAUCCACCCGCUCAACGGGUGGGCGUCCGGUGGAAACUGUGUGGCUUGGGACCGGAAGGUGCGACGUGUACGUCCGGGGUAGGAGUGAAAUCCCGUAAUCCUGGACGGACCGCUGAUGGCGAAAGCACGUCGCGAGAACGGAUCCGACAGUGAGGGACGAAAGCUAGGGUCUCGAACCGGAUUAGAUACCCGGGUAGUC